CACCUCCCUCCUCUCUUCCCCGGGGCUCGGCGGCGGGAGCCCGGCGGGCCGGGCCGGGGCUGUAGCAGUCUCGAGUAGCGGUACCUCGCCCCAGGCCGGCCGGUACGGGUGCUACUCCGAGUCGAAUGUGGCUGCAGUGUUAAAGCUGGCUCAACAUCCUUUGUUAUACCUCUACAGAGACAGUUAUAUAGACAGCAGGAGAAAGUAUGACACAGUUCUGCAAGCAAGAAAGAAAAGGCCGGAAGUCCCAGGUCACCUUUUACCCAUAAGAAUAACAGAAGUGGAAGAAAGGUUGAAUGUAGCAGAAAUGACACAAGAAUGGAUUUCAGCAGAGAGCACUGAAGAAGAAUUACCUCUGAACAUAAUAUGCUAGCUAAAAAAAGCACAACUGAUAGCUGCCAAGACCAUUGUGGACCUAAAAUGCUAGCAGUGGUCAAAGCAAAUUAAAAUUUAUUAAGGGACCCUCAUGUAUAAUUUUACCACAGCAGGAUUAUACUACCAGCUCUGCAAAGGGAGAUUUAGUCAAGUAAUUCUCAUUAAGGGGCAAAACCCCUCUGACUUCUGCAGGUACUUUGCCUGAUUAAGCACUGAAGAACAGGCCCUAAGGUUGGCACGGCUGAGCUCUAACCUGUCUGCCUUUAUGCAAGCCACAGCUUCAUAUAUCAGCUCCAGCUCAUGCAGAGGAGUCUUACCAGGCAUUCUAAUCCUAAGGGGAAACAUUUCAUUGCAAUGCACAGUAAUUUGCAUUCUUUCACAAAAUUCUGCUAUUACAUUAUCCAUUUUUCUCUUGAUUAAAAGAGAUCAAGAAGUGCACACUCUCACACUACACAUGCAGGCUUUCCAUACAGGAGGCCUGGAAUCUACAUUCAAAUUCAGACUGGAGGAGAUCUGGCAACUUCUAGCUCUUUAUGGACUUAUGCUGUUCUAAUAACAGUCACAAAUUACUGAUAAUUAUCAAGGAGGGAAGUUACUGUGGUGGGGUUUUGUUGUUGAGUUUCUAAGACAUUCAAGUGUAUCAAGACAUUUCAGAAGUAUCCAGUGCCAAGGAGUUCUUAAGCACCACAAGCCCUGUGAGCUUGUGCAGAUGCUUUUGAUUUUGCUCACUGCAGGUCAACCUAUGGUGUUAGUUACUGUCUGGAGGAGAUGGAACUGAAGCUACAUUGGCACAAGGGAAAUUGCAGAAGGUCCCUGAGAUGCUCCAGGACUGUUAAAUCUACAGAGCAGAGUCUGGGACCUACAUUGGAUGCAUUCAUGCUGUAACACCCAGGAGAUUGUCAGUUUCAUAGGCCAGGUCAGAACUUUUCCCAUCUCUCUGUGUGAAGAUAAAUUAACCUAGAUGCCUGAGGCUGAAGUUGGAACCUAUCCAUGGAACUCUAUGAUUAGUUACUAGCUAAGCCAGUGUUGUGAGAAACAGUUUUCAAGUUAGGCACUGAUAAGUCCUAUGUUGAGAAAUAUAUGCCCUUGUUCAGCUCUGUCCCUAAAUGCCUGGAGAAAGCUGAAUCAAUUCUACCUGAGCCUAGAAACAGAUGUACAAA
ensembl:lncRNA